GGGGAUGUAGCUCAGUUGGCUAGAGCGCAUGGCUGGCAGCCAUGAGGUCGUGGGUUCGAGCCCCAUCUUCUCCA
rnacentral:tRNA from 1 species